rnacentral:rRNA from 1 species
CCUACGGGAGGCAGCAGUGGGGAAUAUUGCACAAUGGGGGAAACCCUGAUGCAGCGACGCCGCGUGAGUGAAGAAGUAUCUCGGUAUGUAAAGCUCUAUCAGCAGGGAAGAAAUAAAGUCCUUCGGACUUUGGACGGUACCUGACUAAGAAGCCCGGGCGAACUACGUGCCAGCAGCCGCGGUAAUACGUAGGGGGCAAGCGGUAUUCGGAUUUACUGGGUGUAAAGGGAGCGUAGACGGCAGCGCAAGUCUGGAGUGAAAUCCCAUGGCUUAACCAUGGAACUGCUUUGGAAACUGUGCAGCUGGAGUGCAGGAGAGGUAAGCGGAAUUCCUGGUGUAGCGGUGAAAUGCGUAGAUAUUAGGAAGAACUCCGAUUGCGAAGGCGGCUUACUGGACUGUAACUGACGUUGAGGCUCGAAAGCGUGGGGAGCAAACAGGAUUAGAUACCCCAGUAGUC